rnacentral:rRNA from 1 species
UCACCUGUUUAUCAAAAACAUGUCUAUUUGAAAUAAAAAUAUAAUAUAUAGUCAAAUCUGCUCAAUGAUAAAUUAAUUAAAUAGCUGCAGUAUAAAUAACUGUACAAAGGUAGCAAAAUAAUUAGCUUUCUAAUUAAAAGCCGGAAUGAACGAUUUAAUGAAAAAAUAACUUUAUUAAAUUUUUAAUUUAAAAUUUAAAUCUAAAUAAAAAUUUUUAGAUUAAUUAAUUAGACAAAAAGACCCUAUAAAAUUUUAUAAAUUUAAUUAUAAACUAAAUUUAUUUAACUGGGGAAGUUUUAAAAUUUAAAUAAUUUUUAUAAUUAAAUAACAUUAUUAUCUAUGAAUAAUUAAACUUUUUUAAAAAAAAUAAAUUAAAAUUACUUUAGGGAUAACAGAAUAAUUUUUUUUUUUAGUACUUAUAAAUAAAAAAGUUUAUUACCUCGAUGUUGAAUUAAGAUUAAAAUAUAACGAAAAAUUUAUAAAUUUAAG